GGUUAAGCGACUAAGCGUACACGGUGGAUGCCCUGGCAGUCAGAGGCGAUGAAGGACGUGCUAAUCUGCGAAAAGCGUCGGUAAGGUGAUAUGAACCGUUAUAACCGGCGAUGUCCGAAUGGGGAAACCCAGUGCAAUUCGUUGCACUAUCGUUAACUGAAUACAUAGGUUAACGAGGCGAACCGGGGGAACUGAAACAUCUAAGUACCCCGAGGAAAAGAAAUCAACCGAGAUUCCCCCAGUAGCGGCGAGCGAACGGGGAGCAGCCCAGAGCCUGAAUCAGUGUGUGUGUUAGUGGAAGCGUCUGGAAAGGCGCGCGAUACAGGGUGACAGCCCCGUACACAAAAAUGCACAUGCUGUGAGCUCGAUGAGUAGGGCGGGACACGUGGUAUCCUGUCUGAAUAUGGGGGGACCAUCCUCCAAGGCUAAAUACUCCUGACUGACCGAUAGUGAACCAGUACCGUGAGGGAAAGGCGAAAAGAACCCCGGCGAGGGGAGUGAAAAAGAACCUGAAACCGUGUACGUACAAGCAGUGGGAGCACGCUUAGGCGUGUGACUGCGUACCUUUUGUAUAAUGGGUCAGCGACUUAUAUUCUGUAGCAAGGUUAACCGAAUAGGGGAGCCGAAGGGAAACCGAGUCUUAACUGGGCGUUAAGUUGCAGGGUAUAGACCCGAAACCCGGUGAUCUAGCCAUGGGCAGGUUGAAGGUUGGGUAACACUAACUGGAGGACCGAACCGACUAAUGUUGAAAAAUUAGCGGAUGACUUGUGGCUGGGGGUGAAAGGCCAAUCAAACCGGGAGAUAGCUGGUUCUCCCCGAAAGCUAUUUAGGUAGCGCCUCGUGAAUUCAUCUCCGGGGGUAGAGCACUGUUUCGGCAAGGGGGUCAUCCCGACUUACCAACCCGAUGCAAACUGCGAAUACCGGAGAAUGUUAUCACGGGAGACACACGGCGGGUGCUAACGUCCGUCGUGAAGAGGGAAACAACCCAGACCGCCAGCUAAGGUCCCAAAGUCAUGGUUAAGUGGGAAACGAUGUGGGAAGGCCCAGACAGCCAGGAUGUUGGCUUAGAAGCAGCCAUCAUUUAAAGAAAGCGUAAUAGCUCACUGGUCGAGUCGGCCUGCGCGGAAGAUGUAACGGGGCUAAACCAUGCACCGAAGCUGCGGCAGCGACGCUUAUGCGUUGUUGGGUAGGGGAGCGUUCUGUAAGCCUGUGAAGGUGUGCUGUGAGGCAUGCUGGAGGUAUCAGAAGUGCGAAUGCUGACAUAAGUAACGAUAAAGCGGGUGAAAAGCCCGCUCGCCGGAAGACCAAGGGUUCCUGUCCAACGUUAAUCGGGGCAGGGUGAGUCGACCCCUAAGGCGAGGCCGAAAGGCGUAGUCGAUGGGAAACAGGUUAAUAUUCCUGUACUUGGUGUUACUGCGAAGGGGGGACGGAGAAGGCUAUGUUGGCCGGGCGACGGUUGUCCCGGUUUAAGCGUGUAGGCUGGUUUUCCAGGCAAAUCCGGAAAAUCAAGGCUGAGGCGUGAUGACGAGGCACUACGGUGCUGAAGCAACAAAUGCCCUGCUUCCAGGAAAAGCCUCUAAGCAUCAGGUAACAUCAAAUCGUACCCCAAACCGACACAGGUGGUCAGGUAGAGAAUACCAAGGCGCUUGAGAGAACUCGGGUGAAGGAACUAGGCAAAAUGGUGCCGUAACUUCGGGAGAAGGCACGCUGAUACGUAGGUGAAGUCCCUCGCGGAUGGAGCUGAAAUCAGUCGAAGAUACCAGCUGGCUGCAACUGUUUAUUAAAAACACAGCACUGUGCAAACACGAAAGUGGACGUAUACGGUGUGACGCCUGCCCGGUGCCGGAAGGUUAAUUGAUGGGGUCAGCGCAAGCGAAGCUCUUGAUCGAAGCCCCGGUAAACGGCGGCCGUAACUAUAACGGUCCUAAGGUAGCGAAAUUCCUUGUCGGGUAAGUUCCGACCUGCACGAAUGGCGUAAUGAUGGCCAGGCUGUCUCCACCCGAGACUCAGUGAAAUUGAACUCGCUGUGAAGAUGCAGUGUACCCGCGGCAAGACGGAAAGACCCCGUGAACCUUUACUAUAGCUUGACACUGAACAUUGAGCCUUGAUGUGUAGGAUAGGUGGGAGGCUUUGAAGUGUGGACGCCAGUCUGCAUGGAGCCGACCUUGAAAUACCACCCUUUAAUGUUUGAUGUUCUAACGUUGACCCGUGAUCCGGGUUGCGGACAGUGUCUGGUGGGUAGUUUGACUGGGGCGGUCUCCUCCUAAAGAGUAACGGAGGAGCACGAAGGUUGGCUAAUCCUGGUCGGACAUCAGGAGGUUAGUGCAAUGGCAUAAGCCAGCUUGACUGCGAGCGUGACGGCGCGAGCAGGUGCGAAAGCAGGUCAUAGUGAUCCGGUGGUUCUGAAUGGAAGGGCCAUCGCUCAACGGAUAAAAGGUACUCCGGGGAUAACAGGCUGAUACCGCCCAAGAGUUCAUAUCGACGGCGGUGUUUGGCACCUCGAUGUCGGCUCAUCACAUCCUGGGGCUGAAGUAGGUCCCAAGGGUAUGGCUGUUCGCCAUUUAAAGUGGUACGCGAGCUGGGUUUAGAACGUCGUGAGACAGUUCGGUCCCUAUCUGCCGUGGGCGCUGGAGAAUUGAGGGGGGCUGCUCCUAGUACGAGAGGACCGGAGUGGACGCAUCACUGGUGUUCGGGUUGUCAUGCCAAUGGCACUGCCCGGUAGCUAAAUGCGGAAGAGAUAAGUGCUGAAAGCAUCUAAGCACGAAACUUGCCCCGAGAUGAGUUCUCCCUGAGACUUUAAGUCUCCUGAAGGAACGUUAAAGACGAUGACGUUGAUAGGCCGGGUGUGUAAGCGCAGCGAUGCGUUGAGCUAACCGGUACUAAUGAACCGUGAGGCUUAACCUU
rnacentral:rRNA from 1 species